rnacentral:lncRNA from 1 species
CCGCACAUCUUUAAAAUUUGAUCUCACAAAAUAUGUAAGAUAUAUAUUUUUUUUCAAACAUUUAUGUCAUUUUAAACUCAGAUAAUAGUAAAAUACUCUAAUGCAUUAAUUUAAAAAAUAAUCUAUAAUUAUUUAAUAAUAAUAAGAAAAAUCAAAUAGAUUUCUCCAUAAAAAUAUUAAAUCACAAGUCUUCUGGUCCCUAGGC